rnacentral:tRNA from 1 species
AUCUAAGAAGUUUAAAUUGUUAAAUAUUGAUUUGUGGCAUCAAAGAUGUAUUAAGUACCUUGGGUU